rnacentral:rRNA from 1 species
CCUACGGGAGGCAGCAGUGAGGAAUAUUGGUCAAUGGACGCAAGUCUGAACCAGCCAUGCCGCGUGCAGGAAGACGGCUCUAUGAGUUGUAAACUGCUUUUGUACGAGGGUAAACGCAGAUACGUGUAUCUGUCUGAAAGUAUCGUACGAAUAAGGAUCGGCUAACUCCGUGCCAGCAGCCGCGGUAAUACGGAGGAUUCAAGCGUUAUCCGGAUUUAUUGGGUUUAAAGGGUGCGUAGGCGGUCGGAUAAGUUAGAGGUGAAAUCCCGAGGCUCAACUUCGGAAUUGCCUCUGAUACUGGUAGGCUAGAGAGUAGUUGCGGUAGGCGGAAUGUAUGGUGUAGCGGUGAAAUGCUUAGAGAUCAUACAGAACACCGAUUGCGAAGGCAGCUUACCAAGCUACGUCUGACGUUGAGGCACGAAAGCGUGGGGAGCAAACAGGAUUAGAUACCCCAGUAGUC